UAACUCUGAAAACGUAUUUCUUUUGUUCGUACACCUUUGCAUAUGGUGUUACUGUUCGUAUGAGCUUAAAGCAUUGGUUUUGGUUUUAGAAGGUUAAUUCAAAGGUUAGUUCAAUUCUUCUCUUCUUCUCCCUUCAUUCUUUGUUCUGUUUUUCUUUUUGUCUAAAACCAAAAAAAAAAAAACUAAGGUUACCCAAAUGGAAGAAAUAGCGGCAUGAGCACGAGAGAGAGGAAGAGAAGGCUUCAAUGCCAAAUCCAUAGGCCAUGAGAAGUAGACAAGGUCAAAAAUUUCCGAAGCUCAUUCUUCCUUUCUUUUUUCUCAUUUUCUCUCUUCUCCCAUCUCUUUUUUAUUCUUUUCGAAAACUCUAAGAGAAAGAGGGAUUCUUGGUGCGGCUAGGGGAAGAAGAGAAUCUGAGGCUCAAACGAAGUAACGGAAGAUAGAAUUUAAGAGGGGAGGCGAGAUUUCAAGGUGAGUAAUGGAGAAAGGGAGAAACCCUAAAUCCUAGACGAAUGGGAGGUUCUUUGGUGCGAGAGCAAGAGAGAAGAGCAGCAACACGUUUUGGAAAAAAAGGAAAAGAGGACACGAGACGGAGGAAAACCAUGAGCAACGGGCGCCGAAAGUGAGAACUGAGGUACUCGAAGAGUUUUCACUAUUUGGGUUUUAAUUGGUUGUUUGAAUAUGUUGCAACCUAUAUUUUCUCUUAAUACAUGCUUCCUUUUGUGUUAUGCAAAUUAGGAAUAAAUAUAUCAAUUUUUCUGGAAAGGGGAAUGGGGAUUUUCUGGUUGAUAAAUAUAUAUUAGUGUAGUGGUUUUGUGAUGUUUAUACCGUGACUGUGUGAGCUUAAUUGCUUCUAAGGUGCAGCAGUGGUGUUUAUUAAUUUAUUAGUAUUUUAAAACUAUGAGCAAUCUUAUUUGGCUAUCUAUAGUGGACAUGAUGAUAAGCUGGAAAAUUGUAAAUGUUCUAUUGUGGGUCUGGAAGGUGUGAGUUUACUAAUAAUAACAUCUGGUGCUUUGGACUUCAAGGAUUACUGCAUAUGGGUCCAAUGGUGAGGGCUGUGAAGCUUUGGAGCUUUUUACCAAAUGUUGCAAUCCGAUGUAAAACCUGAUAGGGUUACUUUUCUUUCUAUAAAUGGGAUGAGGUAAGUGGCCUUUACAUGUCUCUAACAAAAAUCCAAGAACAAAAAGAAAUUUGCCUUUGCUUUGCUGGAUAGAUUAAAGCUGAUAGAUUCGGUAGUUAGCACAAUACCAUUUUAUGCUUACGUAGGGCAAUUAAAUUUGAUGCAUAUCUAACUAUUCUUACGGUUUGCUUUAUCCAUACCAAUUUGUUUAUGGUAAUAAUAAAUCUCUCCUGUAACUAUCUGAUGGUUUUCUUAAUCUUAUGCAAAAGAUGGAUAAUAAUUUAAAUGGGUAUCUUGUUUUUAAUUUUCCCCCACUUUGUUCUCAUAAACAUCGUCAAACGAACUUUGGGAUUGUUUCUUCAUUAGACUAUAAAAAUAUUUUUAUAUUGAUUAAAAUUGAUUUCUUAUAUCUGUAUUCACAUAUAUAGAAACAAGAGAUUUAAAACUGAUAUAAAAUUUAAAAAUCUUAUACCGGUUUAGUGAUAUAUUAAAGGAUUAUUUUUAUUGAUAAAGUUGGAAUUACUUUUACUUUAUUAAAUCACAAUUAUUUUUUAAUUUGUGUAAGUACAUACUUUUCUCAAAUGUUAGAGGCUUUUUCUCAACUAGUUCCACCAAUUUUUUUUUCUUCGUAUUAAAACCUUUUUAUGAAACAAAACUAAAAUACCACUUAUUAAUUAUUAGAUUAAUUUUCAAGGUGAGGAAGAUUUAUACUAAAAUGAGCAUGACUAUUAAAAUUCUCAUAGGCAUAGUAUGUUUCCGUGUUUGUUUUUCUAUCUAGAGUGAGAUAUUUGAUAAUGGUCUAAAAACCGUUAUUUUCAUACUUAAAUUUGAUAUUAAAGCACACUCUUUAUGACUUAAAAUGAGCUUAAAAUCAGGUAAAACACUUAAUUGUAUCUUGUGAGAGUCAAAAGUUAGUUUUAGAGAUAUUAUUAUUGUUUUACAUUGUUUUGCAGGGUUUUAAGGUGAAUUAAAG
rnacentral:lncRNA from 1 species